CAUUAAAGAAUCGCCCCGUUUUUUGAAAUGGGUUCUAUUCCCAAACCGUGUAUACAUACCUUUGUUGCUUUGGCAGGCCGCUUUCUAGGCGUCGGCUCCGGCUGACUGCGCCUGCCAGAGGACCCAAACUCUUUUGUUUAGUGAUGUCUGAGUACUAUAUAAUAGUUAAAACUCUCAACAACGGAUCUCUUGGUUCUGGCAUCGAUGAAGAACGCAGCGAAAUGCGAUAAGUAAUGUGAAUUGCAGAAUUCAGUGAAUCAUCGAAUCUUUGAACGCACAUUGCGCCCCUUGGUAUUCCGAGGGGCAUGCCUGUUCGAGCGUCAUUAUAACCACUCAAGCCUCGGCUUGGUCUUGGGGUUCGCGGUCUCGCGGCCCUUAAAAUCAGUGGCGGUGCCGUCUGGCUCUAAGCGUAGUAAUUCUCUCGCUAUAGGGUCUAGGCGACUACCUGCCAGAACCCCCAUUCUUUACGGUUGA
rnacentral:rRNA from 1 species